AGGACGAACGCUGGCGGCGUGCCUAACACAUGCAAGUCGAGCGGGGAUGUAUGGAGGAAGUUUCGGAUGGAAUCGAUACAUUCUAGCGGCGGACGGGUGAGUAACGCGUGAGCAACCUGCCUUUCACAGGGGGAUAACGGAUCGAAAGAUUCACUAAUACCGCAUGAGACCACGAUACCGAGUGGUAUAGGGGUCAAAGGAGCAAUCCGGUGAAAGAUGGGCUCGCGUCCGAUUAGGUAGUUGGUGGGGUAAUGGCUCACCAAGCCAAUGAUCGGUAGCCGACCUGAGAGGGUGAUCGGCCACACUGGAACUGAGAGACGGUCCAGACUCCUACGGGAGGCAGCAGUGGGGAAUAUUGGGCAAUGGGGGAAACCCUGACCCAGCAACGCCGCGUGAGGGAAGAAGGUUUUCGGAUUGUAAACCUCUGUCCUUGGUGAAGAGCAGAAGACGGUAGCCAAGGAGGAAGCCCCGGCUAACUACGUGCCAGCAGCCGC
rnacentral:rRNA from 1 species